CAGAUGCUACAAGUGUGUUGACUGUGAAUUUUGGCACAUGAACAUAUACACCACCGGGUGCCUUUACGGAUGCAGAAAAACUAUUAUUAGUAGCAGUCCUGCAGGUGCUAUAGACACCACUCUCACCAGGACCGUGUCACGUGACUGCGCAGUGUAUUCCUCACAACGCCCCGUGCGCGACGAAUGCCUCCUUCAAAGUACGGAAAAGCGGAUCGAUUGCACAUGCCUGUCCAAUAUCUGCAACAAAGCUCAGACGAUAAAAACAAAUGGAAUGCAGUUUUUGUUAGGACUUCUAGUUUUUGCUGUCGUCUCAAUCAUUUAAAUUUGAGAGGUUUUAAAGCUCAAUAAACACUUUUGCUACCUGAGUUUCAGAGAACUCACGGGGACUUUCAUGACAGCGCUUACCGUUAUGGAAUAAAGAGAUGAUGGUCCAGGUCGGCGGGAACAUCCUUAAACUCAGGGGAAUUUUGCUAUCUUCCUCUUCAAAUAGCAUGACUUCACGGAGAAAGGAGUCCCCCAACUACGACCCCUCCUUGUUUGCUGUGUACUAGGCGAUUUACCCAACUACGUAGACAUUUCAAAACAGCCAUUGAAUUGUAUAUUGUUUUGUAUAAAUUUAUUAUUUAAAUGAUAAUCGCUGUAAGUAAAGGUUUUUAUGCUAUGAUAAGCUAAAUCUAAUUUAAAUGCAAAAAUCUAGUUUCUAAUGUAAAAAUGGAGUAGAUAAUUGUUUGGGAUUAGUUUCGAUCUCAUUGCAAAUUUUGUCCCAUGGAGUGUAAAUACGCUUGUACAUUUUGAAAAUAAUUUUAAAUAAAGACACUUAUUUUC